AACGAACGCUGGCGGCAUGCCUAACACAUGCAAGUCGAACGAGACCUUCGGGUCUAGUGGCGCACGGGUGCGUAACGCGUGGGAACCUGCCCUUAGGUUCGGAAUAACUCCCCGAAAGGGGUGCUAAUACCGGAUAAUGUCUUCGGACCAAAGAUUUAUCGCCUUUGGAUGGGCCCGCGUUGGAUUAGCUAGUUGGUAGGGUAAAAGACUACCAAGGCGACGAUCCAUAGCUGGUCUGAGAGGAUGAUCAGCCACACUGGGACUGAGACACGGCCCAGACUCCUACGGGAGGCAGCAGUGGGGAAUAGUGGACAAUGGGCGAAAGCCUGAUCCAGCAAUGCCGCGUGAGUGAUGAAGGCCUUAGGGUUGUAAAGCUCUUUUACCCGGGAUGAUAAUGACAGUACCGGGAGAAUAAGCUCCGGCUAACUCCGUG
rnacentral:rRNA from 1 species